CGGGGUGUAGCGCAGUCUGGUAGCGCGCCUGCUUUGGGAGCAGGAUGUCGGGAGUUCGAAUCUCUCCACCCCGACCA
rnacentral:tRNA from 25 species